AAAAAAAGGAUCUGAUGUUUUCUUGUUUAAACUAUCCUAAAACUAUUGUGAAAUACAAUUCUAAUCCAUUUUAAAUUACUUUUAUGUUAAUUUUAUUCGUAAAAUGAUGUGACCUUUUAUAAAUUAUUUUACUAUUUCACGUUAAAUAACGUUAAUAAAUCAUAAUUUAUACAUUGUUAAUAGCCUAUAUUAGUCUAGCAUUAAAAAAAAAAAGCUUUAAACAAAUAUUAUGUCAGUCGGACUCUUUAAAAACAGCCACGAGAAAGAAUAAAAUAUAUAAUAAUAAAAAACAGUGCACGAAUAAACAUUUUGAAAAUAACCAAACUAAACUCUUCUCCUUCAAAAUAAUAACAACUUCAAGUAUGCGAGAUCUUUUAAACAUCCGUUGAGUGUUUUACCACAGUAUGCUUUGAAGACCAAGAAAACUGGGCACAUAUUCAUUCUCCAGGCACUCUGCCAAACUCUUCCGAGCACCCUACCUGCCUGCUAUCUUAAGUUUCCCGAAUAAGUGAGAAAACACAAUCCAGUUGCAGCUGCAGGGCUGCAUGUUUCCUCCCUGUACUCCGAGCCUGAACUCUAAAACACGGACAAGAAAACUUUUGACGCAUGGGUCGAAAACUGAUGGGGUGUUUAUACAGUGCAACAUGCUGAUCCAUUCCACAUCUGACGAACAACCAUGAGCAACACAUCAGAGUCGUGCCUCUGAUCAUCUCUCAUAGAGGAAAAGGUCACCAUUCAGUGAGAGGAAAUCAUCCUGCACAGCUGGACAACACAGUGCUGGAUCAUCUCAGAGAGAAAAAAAAGAGAGAGCGAGUACAAAUAUACAAGUCUCAAGUGUAACGAGUAGGAAAGGGAUGAGGAAAAAGAAAAGAACUGUCAAAGCCCUCAAAAAGCCAGUCCACUUCUACAUUACUGUGCUUUACAACUCCAAUUGUUAGAUUAAAAGUCUCCUACCUUAAGUAUAGUCUUUUUUUUCAGUAAAGACCUAAUCUGUGCUUAAUAAACCUGUAAGCUCACCUAUAGAAUCCCCUGCACUACCCCUAGUGUGUCACCAGCCACCAGAACUUCUUGCUGGACCUCGCAAGGGUGGCUAGAUGUUCUUAAACAUCACAAGCCACUUUCUCUGUUUCAAGCUGACCUUGGAAUGGCUAUUAGAUGUGGCUUUGAACUACUGGAACUAUCUCUAUAGACCAGUGUCAAGGGUCCCCCUGAGUUGAUAAUGACUUGCUUUCAUAACUGCUGUGACAUUUUGUGAAGGUACGCUAGGCGUGCUCACAGGCCAUAUCUCCAGAAUGCAAUGCUUCCUUUCCCCCUCAGCAGGUGCGAAUCCGAGCUGCAUAGUCUGCAAUUUACAGUGCUGUGUUUGUGCAUCCCGGAAUAAGUAUAGGCCCAGGCCCACGCAUAUGUCCAGCCUUGAUAAGCAUUUUCAGCUCACUACAUAGUUGACACAAACUCAGAAUUGCCACAAAAGAUUAGUGACUGUACAGUGGUGACGUUUGCUUUAAAUAUCACUGCCAGAGUUCCUUGAUGAAGCUAAUUACCAUAUGCCAUGCCAUUAUUGUUUUCUGCCUUGGAUCAGUUGCUUCUGCUUAUAUUAUUAUAAUUAUUAAUUUUUUAAAUCAUAAAAGUGCCUGGUAAAUUAAUAAAUGUAUUGCAAUGAAUAAUGGCAAUUAAAUUGAAAAAAAAAAAGCUAUAAAAUUCACUAGAACUAUGUACUUUGAUAGGAUUUAAAGAGUCUAAUAAAAUUGAUUUUUAAAAGACUUUUCAGUCCACUUCUGCACUUGGUGGUUCAAAUAUCAUCGCUCCAUCUCAUAGAAAGCUCACAACACUGCCAGGUCACCGUAUAUGUCUGUUGUUAAAAUCUGAAUCUUGUAGGCUGCUGAAUGUCUAGUUUCCUGUGGAUGGAAAAAGAGAUAAAUGAACUCACUCGCUGUGCCCUUACAUAAAUGAGGGUUGAUGAAACUGAUGAUAGGCUCAGGCUGCUGAAGAAGUGAUCCCAGUGGAGACCAUACAGUGGUCUGUCCCACUCACAAGACAAAUUAUAUAAUUAGGCGCAUGUCUUCGGGGAUGGCCACCUUUGCCCCUUUCUUGACAUCUUCAAUGGUAAAUGACAGCAUAUCUUGCUAAAAUUCAUCUUGGUGACACUAGCAGAAUUCUCUAUACAGUUGCAUUAAUUGUCUGGUUUUGAGAAAUUCCCAUGAAAAUGCCAAUAUGGGCUCAAGGGGAAACAUUACAUUUGAUUAUAAAGACGAUCAUGAUUCUUGGGCAGGCCUGUCUGAGAGAUUUACAUGAAUCAUAAGCAAAUUAUUUAAAGAGUACAGUAAUUUACAUUAAUAAUACUGAAAGAAUCUAUGAAUAAAAUGCAGUGUCUUAUGCUUGAAUACACUGAAUGGAUUAAUUUUAGGAGGUUUAAGACAGAGUUGUCCUUUUUUUAAUGUAAAGCACUUCGCUUGCGUUAAUUUUAGCAUUGUUUUAAAGUUUUUGAGAAUCACUUGAGAAUCGUCGCACUAAAAUAUGGGCGCUUUUGUCUUGUUUUGAAACCCACAAUUCUUUAUUCACGUAUGAAAAAUUAUCACGCAACUAAACAGAAACGCCCUCGCGGACAGCUUCCUUUCAUCACCUCUUGCUUAUCACCGGCAUUGUCAAAAUUUUCACGUGCCCCGCAAGGGGCUCCGAUUGAAAAAGCAGAGCCCGGGCUCCUGCCUCGUCCAGGCAGGGUUAAGCCACCUCUCCAACCAGGCGGCCCCCAGCGGAACCCUCAUUACUUUGGCUCCUGGAGCAGUCAGCUGUGCUGUGGUUCAGAGAAGAGAGGCUCCUUACCUGGGCAUCACUGCUUCCACAUGCCAACAACAUACGCGCCUUCACCAACCAGAUUUGACAGCUCACGCUCAACUACAGCCUGCUGGAACACAGACAUGAUAAAAAUACAUUCCCUUUGGUUCCCCGUGAAAUGUCGCUUUCUCACGUUUGCUAGGAGUAUAUGACAGCACUUAGUUUGACUUGAGACACCUUUUUGGUGUCAGGUUUUGUUUGUUUAAAUCUACUUCGAGUUAUAAUUUGGGAGUGUUUAUACUGUCUGUAUAUUCAAAUAAAGCUGCCAUUUCAGUGUGUAGGGCUUUGAGGUGUGAGGUUUCAUCCUUCUAUGUGGUUCCCACAUUUUAUAUUAUGCGUAAGGUGAUCUGACGACUACGCAGUUAUACGUUAUUUUUUGUUUGUUUAUCUAAUAUUUGUAGUUUAUAUAAAGCUGAUAAAAUAAUUAUUUCCACAAAAGCUUUCUAAAGGCUACAAAUAGAAAAGCAAUAAAUAGCUUAGACAAAAAGGAGGGCCAACACCAUUAGCAUUUAUAGGCAAUGUUGAACUGAAAAAUCACAAUUCAUCUUGAAGUGAGAAAUAAAGGUUGUCAUACUGUGCAAAGAAAAGGGGCAUGAUAAAGUGAUUCAUGAGUCCCUAUUCUGCUUUACUGUGCCAAGUGUUCCUUACAUGCUGGUCGGAUUCAAUUCACUGUUCUCAAGAAUUUAUUCAUUAUUAUUUAAAACAUGAAUUAUCAUGUAUUUAUUUAAGAGUCGAAAUGAUCAAAUAAACUCCGAUAUUUUUAUCUUUAAAUAAGACCAGUGAACAGAUCGGUGCAUAAAUCAAGCAAGUGACUUAAGUAAUCAAAAGUGUGGUGGAGAUGUCACAUUUUGAGCCGGAAAUGUGUUGAUUAUAUAGGAUAUAUUGGGUAAAACCAGACUGUCAGCUGAGGCUCCUUUAUUAAACAAAUUUCGAAAGAAACAAUAUUUCAGAUGGAACUCAUCUGGGUAGAAGUAUUACAAUUGCAGGACUUUCUUUCCACAGUAAAAGCUCUUUCGAAGAUAUCAAAUAGAUA
ensembl:lncRNA